rnacentral:rRNA from 1 species
UACAGAGGUCCCGAGCGUUGUUCGGAUUCAUUGGGCGUAAAGGGUGCGUAGGCGGUUUGCUAAGUUUGAUGUGAAAUUCCGGGGCUCAACCCUGGCAUGGCAUUGAAUACUGGCGGACUAGAGUACUGGAGAGGAAACUGGAAUUUACGGUGUAGCAGUGAAAUGCGUAGAGAUCGUAAGGAAGACCAGUGGCGAAGGCGAGUUUCUGGACAGUAACUGACGCUGAGGCACGGAAGGCCAGGGGAGCAAACGGG